rnacentral:rRNA from 1 species
GUAUGGUGCAAGCGUUAUCCGGAUUUACUGGGUGUAAAGGGAGCGCAGGCGGAAGGCUAAGUCUGAUGUGAAAGCCCGGGGCUCAACCCCGGUACUGCAUUGGAAACUGUCGUACUAGAGUGUCGGAGGGGUAAGCGGAAUUCCUAGUGUAGCGGUGAAAUGCGUAGAUAUCGGGAGGAACACCAGUGGCGAAGGCGGUCUACUGGGCACCAACUGACGCUGAGGCUCGAAAGCAUGGGUAGCAAACAGGAUUAGAUACCCUGGUAGUCCAUGCCGUAAACGAUGAUUACUAGGUGUUGGGGGAUUGACCCCCUCAGUGCCGCAGUUAACACAAUAAGUAAUCCACCUGGGGAGU